GACCCUCCUUUUUCGGUUUUGAGUGAAUUUCUUUUUUUUAGAGGGACCAUGGUUGUCCCUUGAGUAGAUUAUUUAAGAGAGAGAUAAUAGGGUUCUGCACUUGGGUUGUGAGGGUACUGAGUUGCAGAGAAAAGAGUGAUCCGUAAGAGAGUGUUCUAGAGGUCCUUGGAGCAAGGUGCUGCCCAGAUUUGUGGUGAAGGAUUCAAGGUGUUCCAAGGAGGUCUUCAAGAGAUGUUAUUGCAGAUGUGAUGGCUGAUAUUUCUGAACAUGC
rnacentral:sRNA from 1 species